rnacentral:rRNA from 1 species
AGUACGGUCGCAAGAUUAAAACUCAAAGGAAUUGACGGGGGCCCGCACAAGCGGUGGAGCAUGUGGUUUAAUUCGACGCAACGCGCAGAACCUUACCAACCCUUGACAUACUUGUCGCGGAUUCCAGAGAUGGAUUCCUUCAGUUCGGCUGGACAAUGUACAGGUGCUGCAUGGCUGUCGUCGGCUCGUGUCGUGAGAUGUUCGGUUAAGUCCGGCAACGAGCGCAACCCACGUCCUUAGUUACCAGCAUUUAGUUAGGUACCCUAAGGAGACUGCCGGUGAUAAGCCGGAGGAAGGUGUGGACGACGUCAAGUCAUCAUGGCCCUUACGGGUUGGGCUACACACGUGCUACAAUGGCAUCUACAGUGAGUUAAUCUCCAAAAGAUGUCUCAGUUCGGAUUGGGGUCUGCAACUCGACCCCAUGAAGUUGGAAUCGCUAGUAAUCGCGGAACAGCAUGCCGCGGUGAAUACGUUCCCGGGCCUUGUACACACCGCCCGUCACACCAUGGGAAUUGGGUCUACCCGAAGGUGGUGCGCCAACUAUUUAUAGGGGCAGCCAACCACGGUAGGUUCAGUGACUGGGGUGAAGUCGUAACAAGGUAACC